rnacentral:misc_RNA from 1 species
CUCCGACUCAGCAGUUGAUUUUUCUCCUCUUCUCCUCCAUUUCUUUCUCUAUCUCAUGGGAUCUCUCAAUCUUUCUCACCGGUAGACGACCGGAUAGCGAGGAAAGGAAAAAAUCGCGGAAACUAGAGAAAAUGAUCGAGGGUUUUUGUGGGAAUUCUUCUUUCUGAUUUGUCUCUUGUUUUCUAUUGGGAAAAGGUUACAGACCCAUUAGUUUCCUCUCAGCCUUGAACUCUCUGAGAAGCUUUCGAUCUCCCACGCUAGCUCUUUUUGUUUGUUGAUUUGUUUAUAGUUACCGCAUAACCACAACAAUAGAAAGUCA